UAUUUUCAUAAUACAUAUGUUCUCAGGCGCUUUCCGUGGGAAGUCAUAGCAAUGGAAGCGGAGUUGUAGCUCUUCUGAAAAUUGCAAGGAUCUUUUCACACAUCUAUUCAAGCCCUAAGACCAGAAGCAAGUUUAAUCUUCUCUUUGGAUUAACAUCUGGCUGACCCUACAAUUAAAAUGGAACUAGCAAGGUUAUCAAUUUUUGUUACAGUGGCUUGAAGUUUUGACCAACAUGUGUGUGAUAUUAUUGACUAUGCAAUUUACUUGAAUAUCAUUGGUUCCUGGAGCAAUGAUCUCUGGAUGCAUGUAUCAAAGCCUCCAGAGAAGCCUUACAUCAAGCAAAUCUUUGAGGAUUUUUCGGAUGUCUCCAAGGAAAUGAGCAUUUCAGUCGCACAAGAAGAUUAAUGUGUCAAAUUCUAGAACUGCAUGCUGAACAAGCUUCAGAUUGAGGAGAGCUUGGUCCCCAAGAUGUGCCUAAAUUUGUACAGGGAAUAAGGAACUACAAUGGCCGGUCUGAAGCUUAUGGGCUAUGAUUUCGACUACGAGGAAUUCCACGCCAGCAUGCACGGUAAAUUGCCAUAUGAGAAGUUGAAGCCGGACCCUGUCCUGAGGAACCUACUGCUUUCGAUGCCUCAAAAUCCCUCUGAUGUUUCUUGCUACAUCACAUCAGCGAGGGGUCUGUGACAGUUAAAUGCUUCAGCAGUUACAGCUUGUCGUUGCACCGUAGAUAUUCACCAACUCUGAUGAGGGUCACGCGGCCGCCCUCCUCUUGGUUAACUCUGACAUUCAUUGUGCCAUUUAUAUCAAAAUAUUGCAUGAGUUUUUGUUGGUUGUUCAGGGACUAAGCUUAUCUCGGUUACUGUGAAUUUUAAUUGUACUCUGGGUCAAGUGAUUUUUUGAUAUGGUAACUAAUUUCUUGUUCUUUUUGCCAAAUUCUAAUUUAAAAACAAAACAGUAAGAAAUCAUGCAUGAUGUUUCAAGUAAAAUAAAUAAAUAAAUGCAGCCUGGAGUGCUGAUCUACUCCCUCCGUUCCAAAUUACUCAUCGCAAAAAUGGAUGUAUCUAGAACUAAAAUACAUCUAGAUACAUCCAUUUCUGUGAUGAGUAAUUCGGAAUGGAGGGAGUAUGAAAUAGAUGCCACCAGGAAGGUGAUGCCUUCAAUUCAUCAUGUUCUUUGCCUGCCUAAUUUUCCUCUCAUCCUCUUUUGUUGUAUUCACAGUGUUUGUUUUUUUCUGGACAAAGGUUGUGCAUCUUUGCAGGAGGAUUAUCAGGCCUGAGUGACAUUUCUGAAAAAAAAAUCGUUCAAAGCUUGGUGUUCAUUGCUGUUAUUGUUCCUAAUUUGAAGGGGACUGAGAUAUCUACCUAGGAAAUUCAAGUUGUGUUAUCUUCAAAUGAUCGGACAUCUGAAAUAAAUUAGAUAUUAGUAGGCAAUACUGAUGAAGCCCAGUCGUAUGAGCCGAGGGCUCAGACCGUCUCGCCGCACUGGAUCUGAUCUUACAUGCCAAGCACUUGAGCAGAGGCUGAUCAUUUAAUGUUGUGACAGUAAUAAGAGUUGUCCGGAUUUCUUCUUUCCUGUACUAUAAAUACAAGAGACAUAUGUGCUACACUACUUUUGGACAAACUGUAAUGGGUGGUCCUCGUUACAUGUACAACUAGUAUAAUGGAUCUG